rnacentral:lncRNA from 1 species
AAUCCUGACAGUGCUAAAGAAUUAACACACGAUAAAUACCAUACUAGGAUUCUAUCAGUCCGGUAGCCCGUAACAGCAUGAAAUCUAGUAGAAUAAAAAAUAUAACAAGAAUGACACGCCGCCCAGGAUAAAAAGGUGUCAAUCGGAUGUUGUCAAGGACACAACAACACCGAUUUUAACAGGUGUCCCAAGGAUCAUCUUAAAUGAUGAAUUUCGAACAGCGGUAUACUACUGUUGCCCUUAUUUAUAACCACCGGACCGGAAUUCCUACUGGUGGACAAUCUGUCCCGAGGAAGUUCUGUCAGUCCGGUAGCCUAACAGCAUGAAAACUAGUAGAAUAAAAAAUGUUUACAUCUUACGCCUUAUGUAUAAUU